UACAGAGGGUGCGAGCGUUGUUCGGAAUCAUUGGGCGUAAAGCGCUUGUAGGCGGCCUGUCAAGUCGCGUGUGAAAUCCCCUGGCUUAACCAGGGAAGUGCGCGCGAAACUGGCGGGCUUGAGUGCCGGAGAGGGUCGCGGAAUUCCCGGUGUAGAGGUGAAAUUCGUAGAUAUCGGGAGGAACACCAGUGGCGAAGGCGGCGACCUGGACGGACACUGACGCUGAGACGCGAAAGCGUGGGGGAGCAAACAGG
rnacentral:rRNA from 1 species